rnacentral:rRNA from 1 species
UGGGGAAUAUUGCACAAUGGGCGAAAGCCUGAUGCAGCGACGCCGCGUGAGGGAUGACGGCCUUCGGGUUGUAAACCUCUUUCAGUAGGGACGAAGCGCAAGUGACGGUACCUGCAGAAGAAGCACCGGCUAACUACGUGCCAGCAGCCGCGGUAAUACGUAGGGUGCGAGCGUUGUCCGGAAUUACUGGGCGUAAAGAGCUCGUAGGCGGUUUGUCACGUCGUCUGUGAAAUCCUAGGGCUUAACCCUGGACGUGCAGGUGAUACGGGCUGACUUGAGUACUGCAGGGGAGACUGGAAUUUCUGGUGUAGCGGUGGAAUGCACAGAUAUCAGGAAGAACACCGAUGGCGAAGGCAGGUCUCUGGGUAGUAACUGACGCUGAGGAGCGAAAGCAUGGGUAGCGAACAGG